rnacentral:rRNA from 1 species
ACACGUGGAUAACCUGCCCUUGGGACCGGCAUAACCCCGGGAAACUGGGGAUAAUUCCGGAUACCGCAUAUAUGCUGGAAUGCUUUAUGCGUGAAAUGGAUUCGUCUGCCCAAGGAUGGGUCUGCGGCCUAUCAGGUAGUAGUGGGUGUAAUGUACCUACUAGCCAACGACGGGUACGGGUUGUGAGAGCAAGAGCCCGGAGAUGGAUUCUGAGACAUGAAUCCAGGCCCUACGGGGCGCAGCAGGCGCGAAAACUUUACAAUGCGGGAAACCGUGAUAAGGGGACACCGAGUGCCAGCAACAUUUGUUGGCUGUCCAGGUGUGUAAACUACACCUGUUAGCAAGGGCCGGGCAAGACCGGUGCCAGCCGCCGCGGUAACACCGGCGGCCCGAGUGGUGAUCGUGAUUAUUGGGUCUAAAGGGUCCGUAGCCGGUUUGGUCAGUCCUCCGGGAAAUCUGACGGCUUAACCGUUAGGCUUUCGGGGGAUACUGCCAGGCUUGGAACCGGGAGAGGUAAGAGGUACUACAGGGGUAGGAGUGAAAUCUUGUAAUCCCUGUG